GAUGUUAUUCACCGGCUUGUAAAGAAAUUUCCCAUCAAAAGAUCUCCAAUGAGACUUCGACUUACUGUUGGUGAGCAGAAUUUUUCCACUGUAUUGGAGAAGAUAGGCACUUGGAAUGGUGAGAUUGUGACUAUGGAUGAAUCUGGAACUCAAUUUUCACUUGUUUGUGAAGUUGAUCCAGGUUUAUAUCGAUAAUGCAAUUGGUUGGUGAGAGACUUACAGGGGACGCUGGAACUGGUAGCACCUUCUGUUCAUGCAGGGGAAGCUGCUUGUAUAUGAACCAUCCAUUCUUGUGAAUAGCACUUUUCAGGGAUCGAGUCGAUUGGAAUUAGAAAGUCAACACGGCCGUAAUUAAGGUUUGUAAUGCAUGAUCUAAAGGGAGCUAAGUGGCCGGAUUAGAGAAAUUUGUUAGACUAGCUCUCUAGCCUUUUGUCUUUAUUUGUUAAUAUUAGUUUUAAUUUGUUAGACUAGCUAGCUAGGUGUUUAAAAAUUGUAAACGUACGUACUAUACGCUUUUCUCUAUUGGGUUAAUAUAAAUGAAGUUAAUUUAAUGAUUUAUUAAUAAAAAAUAAGCAGAUUCAUACC